AGCGAACGCUGGCGGCAGGCCUAACACAUGCAAGUCGAACGCCCCUUCGGGGGAGUGGCGGACGGGUGAGUACCGCGUGGGAAUGUGCCCUUUGGUACGGAACAACUGAGGGAAACUUCAGCUAAUACCGUAUGUGCCCUACGGGGGAAAGAUUUAUCGCCAUUGGAGCAGCCCGCGUUGGAUUAGGUAGUUGGUGGGGUAAUGGCCCACCAAGCCGACGAUCCAUAGCUGGUCUGAGAGGAUGAUCAGCCACACUGGGACUGAGACACGGCCCAGACUCCUACGGGAAGCAGCAGUGGGGAAUCUUGCGCAAUGGGCGAAAGCCUGACGCAGCCAUGCCGCGUGAAUGAUGAAGGUCUUAGGAUUGUAAAAUUCUUUCACCGGGGAAGAUAAUGACGGUACCCGGAGAAGAAGCCCCGGCUAACUUCGUG
rnacentral:rRNA from 1 species